rnacentral:rRNA from 1 species
AUUGAACGCUGGCGGCAGGCCUAACACAUGCAAGUCGGACGGUAGCACAGAGGAGCUUGCUCCUCGGGUGACGAGUGGCGGACGGGUGAGUGAUGUCUGGGGAUCUGCCCGAUAGAGGGGGAUAACCACUGGAAACGGUGGCUAAUACCGUAUAACGUCGCAAGACCAAAGAGGGGGACCUUCGGGCCUCUCACUAUCGGAUGAACCCAGAUGGGAUUAGCUAGUAGGCGGGGUAAUGGCCCACCUAGGCGACGAUCCCUAGCUGGUCUGAGAGGAUGACCAGCAACACUGGAACUGAGACACGGUCCAGACUCCUACGGGAGGCAGCAGUGGGGAAUAUUGCACAAUGGGCGCAAGCCUGAUGCAGCCAUGCCGCGUGUAUGAAGAAGGCCUUCGGGUUGUAAAGUACUUUCAGCGGGGAGGAAGGCGAUAAGGUUAAUAACCUUGUCGAUUGACGUUACCCGCAGAAGAAGCACCGGCUAACUCCGUGCCAGCCGCCGCAGUAA